rnacentral:rRNA from 1 species
CCUACGGGUGGCAGCAGUGAGGAAUAUUGGUCAAUGGACGAGAGUCUGAACCAGCCAAGUAGCGUGAAGGAUGACUGCCCUAUGGGUUGUAAACUUCUUUUAUAUGGGAAUAAAACGUUCCACGUGUGGGAUUUUGUAUGUACCAUAUGAAUAAGGAUCGGCUAACUCCGUGCCAGCAGCCGCGGUAAUACGGAGGAUCCGAGCGUUAUCCGGAUUUAUUGGGUUUAAAGGGAGCGUAGGUGGAUUGUUAAGUCAGUUGUGAAAGUUUGCGGCUCAACCGUAAAAUUGCCGUUGAAACUGGCAGUCUUGAGUACAGUAGAGGUAGGCGGAAUGCGUGGUGUAGCGGUGAAAUGCUUAGAUAUCACGAAGAACUCCGAUUGCGAAGGCAGUUCACUGGACUGCAACUGACACUGAGGCUCGAAAGUGUGGGUAUCAAACAGGAUUAGAUACCCGGGUAGUC